UGUUAAAAAUUUUUUUCAUUAAUUUCUACCGUUAAAAAUUGACGUGACUAAAGAAAUAACUAGACAUAAAUGCAUACCUCUUGUUGACAUAAAGGGAUCAAUUUUUAACAGUAGAAAUUGAUAAAAUUUUUAACA
rfam:Gossypium hirsutum cultivar TM-1 unplaced genomic scaffold scaffold104.1, whole genome shotgun sequence